GCCGGAGUGGCGGAAUUGGCAGACGCGCUAGGUUCAGGGUCUAGUACGGGCAACCGUGUGCAGGUUCAAGUCCUGUCUCCGGCACCA
rnacentral:tRNA from 1 species